rnacentral:rRNA from 1 species
GCGGCAACAGCUCAAAUUUGAAAUCUGGCCCCAGGCCCGAGUUGUAAUUUGCAGAGGAUGUUUCUGGCGAGGUGCCUUCCGAGUUCCCUGGAACGGGACGCCAUAGAGGGUGAGAGCCCCGUACGGUUGGUCGCUAAGCCUCUGUGAAACUCCUUCGACGAGUCGAGUAGUUUGGGAAUGCUGCUCUAAAUGGGAGGUGUACGCCUUCUCAAGCUAAAUACCGGCUAGAGACCGAUAGCGCACAAGUAGAGUGAUCGAAAGAUGAAAAGCACUUUGAAAAGAGGGUUAAAUAGUACGUGAAAUUGUUGAAAGGGAAGCGCUCUUGACCAGACUUGCGCCGGUUGAUCAUCCACCGUUCUCGGUGGUGCACUCUGCCGGCUCAGGCCAGCAUCAGUUCGGCCCGGGGGAUAAAGGCUUCGGGAAUGUGGCUCUCUCCGGGGAGUGUUAUAGCCCGUUGCGUAAUACCCUGGACCGGACUGAGGUUCGCGCAUCUGCAUGGAUGCUGGCGUAAUGGUCAUCAGUGACCCGUCUUGAAACACGGACC